CCUAAAUAAACAUUAAAAAAAUAACAACCACGUAAAUCUACAUGUCAAGCACUAAGCCUAGAUUUUAAUUUCAACCAGGUAAGAAGUACUCAGGGAUAAACAUCUGCAUUAAGCUUAAGUGCAGCUAUUUUUUUUUUUCAUACUCUUAAUGGUUUCUAACUGUUCCAGACUCUUUUUAAUUUACUGAGCUCUUCGACAUUCAGUGGGAUGCUGAGUGCUAAGGAUACAGCAGUGACUCAAGCAGGCAAAAUCUCUUCCUUCGUGGAGAUUAUAUUCUAGUGGGGAGAAAUAAACGUUCACAUCAAUUCACACUGAUCUCUGAAGUCUUCAAGAAAGCUACUGUUUUAAUCAUGCACUUGUAUUUUUAAAAGCCAGAAACAGCAGUUGUAGGUCAUUUAUAGAAUUCUAUAUUUCUUCGAGUGUCGUGUUGCUGUUUGGUCUCCUGGAAGAGGAAACAAAGACUUUGCAGCCAGAGCUCACUUCUGAAACUUCUUCACACUCUGAGACAGUCCCAUGUUGUGUGACAAAGAACUCACCACAGAGAUACCUGAUGGGAGAAUUAGGAGAUAUAAAAAGACAACAAAAAUGCUUGAGCGAUGAAAAAUCCUUGUUCUGCUUUUGCCUUCUUCCAAGGCAAGCAGGCUCUGAGGAACAAAAAUGACUAACUUAUGGAAGAAAAGAAAAAUACUCUUCCCCAAGCAAACAAACAAACAAACAAACAAGAGAAAUAGGAGAGAGAAAAGCUGCCAAUGAACUGCAAGAAAUCAUAGUGGAGCUGGAAAAAGUCCAGGAAAAUUUGAAACUUGCGCAUGGCCAUCCAAAUGCAACAGUGUCCCCAGGGAAGAUAAUAUCCUGGGAUUUUGCUUGUAGAAGCAGAAUGAGAGAGUAUAAACAAGCUUGGAAAUGUAAUCCUUUCUCAUGGCUUUAGGAUAACUAAAAUCAUUUUUAGCAAUGUUAAUCUGGUCACCCUUCGGGUAAAUAUCCUUCUGAUAUUUGCAUUUGUAAUACAAGAAGGCAGAUUAAAAAACUGAAACCAUCGUGUUACUUGACAUCCAUGAGGAAUAUAUUUGAAGGCAUUUAUUUCAUGGAUACACAAAUGCAUACAUGCCAUUUUCUUUUACAGGUCUAUUUUUUUCCCCUCUGAAAGCUCUUUAAAAAAUCACUUCACAAUGUCAUGUUGAGAUAUAAGUUCUACCUGUAAGGUAAAGCACAUUCCCAAGAUAAGUGACUCCAUACGUUUGAAAGCUGAGAUCGGUUCUUCCUGGCUUUUCUGGGAAAUAGUCAGACAUGUAUCUUCCAAUUUAGAGUUCUACCAAAUCAUUGGUUAUAACUAGACAAAACCCCAUCUUGGGUGAUAAUGCUUUAGGCCUGACUUAAAGCAAAACUGCAGAGGGAAAGACUUUAAAAGAAAUAAGACAACAAGACUAUCAUCAUAUUCAUAAGAGUUUCGAGUAGUAUUUUAAAAGCAACAACUCUGAAACCUAAAAUAAUUUUACACACACACAUAAAAUAGUGUGUGUAUUUGUGAUACAUAUGGAUAGAUAGAUAGAUAAUAUAUGUUAUAUUUUGUGUGUUAAGGAACAACUGUGUUAGUUUAUAGAUACUCACUCCUCAACCACCCCCUCUUAUAUAUGCACGUUCUUAGAUAAAUAAUCUGCUGUUUUGGAUUUUUGACAUGGCUGACACCCCCUCCCAUGCUGAGUUAUGGCUGUCAUAACUGACUACGGACAGCAAAAGCCACACUCAGAUGCUGACUCACAGUUACAGUCCUCUACUCGUCUCUCUCGGGCUCCAUGUCUGGGUCCUUAACAUUUGUUUUUACUGGAAGAGACCCAGUCCUGAAGCAAUUCCACACAUGGUUGGCCAAUUUUAGCCAUCAGUCCUGUCACCUCUUUCUUACUGGGUUUUGGCUUCUCACUUGGCUUAGAACACUUAGAAUGUUCUUCGUCUGAGGGUAAGAAACUGCUCCUGCCUCAGGCUGCAUUGUCACAGGUUGAGCUAAUACCUGCCCACGUUCCCCAUCCCACGCACACGCACACCCACCCCCCCCCCCCCACACACACAUA